CUUGUACUCCCUCCAUCCGAAAAUACUUGUCACUGAAAUGGAUGUAUCUAGAUGUAUUUUAGUUCUAGACACAUCCAUUUUGAUGACAAGUAAUUCCGGAUGGAAGGAGUACUUG
rnacentral:pre_miRNA from 1 species